rnacentral:rRNA from 1 species
AACGAACGCUGGCGGCAUGCCUAACACAUGCAAGUCGAACGAGAUCUUCGGGUCUAGUGGCGCACGGGUGCGUAACGCGUGGGAAUCUGCCCUUUGGUUCGGAAUAACAGUUGGAAACGACUGCUAAUACCGGAUGAUGACGAAAGUCCAAAGAUUUAUCGCCCGAGGAUGAGUCCGCGUAGGAUUAGCUAGUUGGUGUGGUAAAGGCGCACCGAGGAGACUCUCCUUAGCUGGUCUGAGAGGAUGGUCAGCCGCACUGGGACUGAGACACGGCUCAGACUCCUGCGGGAGGCAGCAGUGGGGAAUAUUGGACAAUGGGCGAAAGCCUGAUCCAGCAAUGCCGCGUGAGUGAUGAAGGCCUUAGGGUUGUAAAGCUCUUUUACCCGGGAUGAUAAUGACAGUACCGGGAGAAUAAGCUCCGGCUAACUCCGUGCCAGCAGCCGCAGUAA